GACAUAGGUGGCGAACGUUAUCCGGAAUUAUUGGGCGUAAAGGAUGCGUAGAUGGUAGAAUAAGUUACUGGUCGAUGCCAAACUCAAUUUGGCGGAAGCCGAUAAUACUGUUCUACUCGAGGGCAGGAGAGGUUGUUGGAAUUCUGUGUGGAGCGGUGAAAUGCGUUGAUCUACAGAGGAACACCAAAAAAGGCGAAGGCAAUCAACUAUUCUGUUCCUGACAUUGAGGCAUGAAAGCGUGGGGAGCAAACCGG
rnacentral:rRNA from 1 species